rnacentral:rRNA from 1 species
UACGGGGGGGGCAAGCGUUGUUCGGAAUUACUGGGCGUAAAGGGCUCGUAGGCGGCCAACUAAGUCAGACGUGAAAUCCCUCGGCUUAACCGGGGAACUGCGUCUGAUACUGGAUGGCUUGAAUCCGGGAGAGGGAUGCGGAAUUCCAGGUGUAGCGGUGAAAUGCGUAGAUAUCUGGAGGAACACCGGUGGCGAAGGCGGCUCACUGGCCCGGUACUGACGCUGAGGCGCGAAAGCGUGGGGAGCAAACAGG